AUUGAACGCUGGCGGCAUGCCUUACACAUGCAAGUCGAACGGCAGCACGGGGCAACCUGGUGGCGAGUGGCGAACGGGUGAGUAAUGCAUCGGAACGUACCUUUCAGUGGGGGAUAACGUAGCGAAAGUUACGCUAAUACCGCAUAUUCUGUGAGCAGGAAAGAAGGGGAUCGCAAGACCUGGCGCUGAUUGGGCGGCCGAUGUCAGAUUAGCUAGUUGGUGAGGUAAAGGCUCACCAAGGCGACGAUCUGGAGCGGGUCUGAGAGGAUGAUCCGCCACACUGGAACUGAGACACGGUCCAGACUCCUACGGGAGGCAGCAGUGGGGAAUUUGGGACAAUGGGGGCAACCCUGAUCCAGCCAUGCCGCGUGAGUGAAGAAGGCCUUCGGGUUGUAAAGCUCUUUCGGCCGGGAAGAAAUCGCACGGGCUAAUACCCUGUGUGGAUGACGGUACCGGAAUAAGAAGCACCGGCUAACUCCGUGCCAGCAGCCGCCGCCGUAA
rnacentral:rRNA from 1 species